AGUGAUACCCGGUCCCACUCAGCAGAGAUUCUGGUGAAAUUGGUUUGGGAUCGGGCUCGCACACCGGUAGGUUGGAAGAGUUCCCCAGGUGAUGCUAAUGUGUAGCUGGGCUUGAGAACCACUGCAAUCGGGGCUGACCAGUGAAGUGAUUUGCUUCUGAUAACCUGAAAACCCGAAUCCACAUGGGUCUGAUCCUCCACUCUGGGGUUCUUCCGACAAACUCAGAGUUCUCCGUGGCUUUGGCAUCUGUCUGAAUCGAAAGCAAAUUCUUGGCGAUCAAGUCUACUCCUCCUUAAUCCAAAGGGAAUCCAAUUCGCUUCAAAUACAGUGCCAAAAGAACUUCUGUUUUUCGUUUUGUUUUGUUUGGUGAGGAAGAUGGGCCUGAGCUAACGUCUGUGCCAGUCUUUCUGUAUUUUGUAUGUGGGAUGCUGCCACAGCAUGGCUUGAUGAGUGCUGUGUAGGUCCUGCCCAGGAUCCGGGCCUGCGAACCCCGGGCUCCCGAGGCAAAGCACGCAAACUUAACCACUACACCACCAGGCCGGCCCCAAGCGCUUCUGGUUUUUGCCUCUCUCUCAAACUGUUCGUGUGUUUCAUGCCUGGGAACUGCAUUCUUCAGCCAAGUUGGAGAAAUCCCUAUAAAAAUAGUCCCCUUUCCUGAGUGCCUGGUGUAGUUAAGGCACUUGACAUGCAGUUUCAUUUAAUCCCCAGAACCCUCUUACGAGCUGAUACAGCUGGGAUUCCAACCCAAGCAUUCAUGUGCUUCCCCUCACCACCUGUGCCUCCCGCGCUGCCCAGAGCACGGGGCAGCUGGCAGACAGUGGCGUUGUGCCCUGGAUCCGCAGAGGAAAGACGACUCUGUGAAGGAUUGAUAUUCUCCAACACAGAGCGGAUCGAUGCACGUAAUUCUUGCAGAUUUCCUUUGGCUUUGCGCCGUGAGGGAGGGAGACAGUUGGAAACGUCCUGAUUUUGAGAGGAAGCCGGUGUUUCCUGAAGCCUUUGUUUUGGGUGCGCCUUAACCGCACCUGCGUUUCUUGCAGCUUCUUACAAAGAAACUUCUUUUUUUGUUUUGAGAGUCAAAAUAGUUGAACUGAAGUUAUUUUCAACCGGAGGGAAAUGUUUGAAAGCUCAGCCUUUGUGAGCCCAAAGAGCAUUGUUUCAUCGACAGUGAUUGAAACAGUCAUUUCCUUUGGGAAGUCUUUGCCAUUGAAGCAAACUUUGAUUUUGGAAGCAAAAGUUUUGGCUUUAAAGAUGGGAUCCAAGUGUUACACCUUCUUCUCAUAGCUCCCCGGCCAUUUAUCGGAGUGCUGUGAUAGUAAGGUUGUUUGCAUUUGAACAGAAAGACCUGCUCUGGCCAGCUGGGCUGAUGCUAAGAGGCAGUAUAGUUCAGUGGUGAGGAGCACAUCCCUUACAGCUGGGCUGCCUGGGUUUGCCUCACUCUGCCACUUGCAAGCUGGAAUCUUCGGCAAAUUACAUAACUGUCCCGAACUUCAGUUUCUGCCUUUAUAAAAUGGGGAUGAAGAUAGUAUUUAUUUCCUAUGAUUUUUUAUAAUUAUUAAUUAACAUAAUAAAAAGUACUUAAAUCCAAUAA
ensembl:lncRNA